rnacentral:sRNA from 1 species
GUGGAAGAAAGUUCUUUGAUGUCUGAACUGACCGGUCGAACGCGGCGUCGAGCGCGUGCGGGUCGAAGUCA